rnacentral:rRNA from 1 species
GCAAGUCGAACGGUAACAGGGAAGAGCUUGCUCUUUUGCUGACGAGUGGCGCACGGGUGCGUAACGCGUAUACAAUCUACCUUUUACAGGGGGAUAGCCUUUAGAAAUGAAGAUUAAUACCCCAUGGCAAGUAACUUUCGCAUGGAAGCUACUUUAAAGUUUCGGCGGUAAAAGAUGAGUAUGCGUUCUAUUAGCUAGAUGGUGUGGUAACGGCACACCAUGGCGACGAUAGAUAGGGGCCCUGAGAGGGGGAUC